GUGCUGUCAACGUCACGUUCAGAAGCCCGGCUUCCACUCGAGCGCUCUUCCUGCGCCAGAUGGCACGUGCGACGCCGCGGAGGAAAAAACGCACGCGUCACGUCAUAGAUUAAGUUAAUUCUUAAUUAUUAUGACGGGUAAUUAGGGUAGAAAAGGUAUUUGAUGUUGGUUUAGCAACUUUUACUGAGCUAAAAGGUUUUUUUAAAAAUAAAAGUGACUAAAACUGAUCAUUGUUACCCAACUUGGAUAACAUCUCCGCAACACAGCUUCCUUAUUUGCUGUUAUGUAUAAGAUUUAAGCAACUUCCCACAAAUAUUGCAAUAUUCCGUGAGUUUUCCUCAUAGAUUCGGAUUUAAAGACGCCUCAGUUCGGCGACUCUCUCUUCACAAAACUUUUCACCGCCACAAUCGUUCUCCAAGAUCAAUAGUUGAUGUAACCGUAAAAUUACUUCAAUUCAAAGCUAAUGAAUAGUUUACGUAAAUAUUAUAAAUGAUAUUUCUAUUGUUAUUGUUAUAGCUUUCAUUUUUGGAGAGUAAGCCAUCAGUUCGUAGACGUAUUGAUAUUGACCCUAAUAAAUUAUGAUCCUAAUUUUUAUUCUACACUUUGCAUGAGUAUAAUUUCCAAAAACUGCAACAUUAACUUUACGUGACAUCUCACGACUUUCUCUCAUUAAUAGUUUUCUAUACGAUAUACACAGCAAACUGCAUAAGUGCAGAGCUUACUCACGAAACCUCAUCAAAAAUUGCUUCAUUCAAUAAAGUGUCGCAUCUCCGAAAAUAACGAGCUGUGUAUCGCGAAUCAAGUUCCUAAAACCAGUUGUGCACUGGGGGUGGGCUGAAAAACAAUGCACGUGUCACCUGCCUCUUAUCACGUCAUUGUAUGCAGGGCCUAAGACGACAUCUUGAUUGGCCCUAUAACGAGAUAUCUGUGCUUCAAAAAUGACACGUAAAAAAAAAAAUUAUAACCUAAAUUUUUUUGACACUAGAGUUCGAAAUAGCUUGUAUCUUUUUAACCCAUUGCCUGAAGAGGGUAAUGCUUUUUUUGUAAUUUAUGAUAGUGUAGGCUUUUGUUUGAAGCGUGAAUUUGAUGUUAAGUGCUUGAUAGGCGGUAAAGGGUGUGGGGAUAAGCGAUUCGAGAUUGAAGUUCUAUCGGCUUAUCAAAGUCUAUUAUCAGUCUAUUCAAUGCUUCUACAUGUAAUUUGCAAUCGAUGAUAAUGUCGAUAUCUUGAAAGGUGUUUCCUGCCACAAGGAUUUUUUGGAUGUCCUCGAAGUAUCAAGCCCCUUGCUUGAGCUCUCAUCUCACCCACCUGAAGAUAUGUACCUACUGCUAAAGCUGUUAAGGUGUCGUGACACAUACCAAAUUCGGUCAAAAAUUGUAAGUACACGAUCAUAAUAUUUUUCGCUACGAGUUUUCAUCACCUAUACGAACUUUUUUUUAAAUAAAUGUUUAUACAUAUUUAUGCAUGUAUAAGCCUUUUCACCUAACUUGUGCUACGUAGUUAAGCAAGCAGGAUCGUGGGAAGCAUUGUGGUCGCGGAAGGAAGGCGCCUCGGGUACAAUUUGUGCUGAGGACUGACUUAUAUGUCUGCCAGUUACUGCUAUUGAUUGUUACUGGCUUUUGUAUUAUCUGUCGUUUCCGAUUGAAUCUGUAGGUG